rnacentral:rRNA from 1 species
GCAGUCGAGCGGACAGAUGGGAGCUUGCUCCCUGAUGUCAGCGGCGGACGGGUGAGUAACACGUGGGUAACCUGCCUGUAAGACUGGGAUAACUCCGGGAAACCGGGGCUAAUACCGGAUGCUUGAUUGAACCGCAUGGUUCAAUUAUAAAAGGUGGCUUUUAGCUACCACUUACAGAUGGACCCGCGGCGCAUUAGCUAGUUGGUGAGGUAACGGCUCACCAAGGCAACGAUGCGUAGCCGACCUGAGAGGGUGAUCGGCCACACUGGGACUGAGACACGGCCCAGACUCCUACGGGAGGCAGCAGUAGGGAAUCUUCCGCAGUGGA